GACGAACGCUGGCGGCGUGCUUAACACAUGCAAGUCGAACGGAAAGGCCCUGCUUUUGUGGGGUGCUCGAGUGGCGAACGGGUGAGUAACACGUGAGUAACCUGCCCUUGACUUUGGGAUAACUUCAGGAAACUGGGGCUAAUACCGGAUAGGAGCUCCUGCUGCAUGGUGGGGGUUGGAAAGUUUCGGCGGUUGGGGCUGGAUUCGCGGGUUAUCAGCUUGUUGGUGGGGUAGUGGCUUACCAAGGCUUAGACGGGUAGCCGGCCUGAGAGGGUGAACGGCGUCCUUGGGACUGCGAGACGGCCCAGUAGCCUACGGGCGGCAGCAGUCGGGAAUAUUGCGCAAUGGGCGGAAGCCUGAGGCAGCAACGCCGCGUGCGGGAUGAUGGCUUACGGGGUGUAAACCGCUUUCUCCUGUGACGAAGCGUGAGUGACGGUAAUGGGUAAAGAAGCACCGGCUAACUACGUG
rnacentral:rRNA from 1 species